CGCGCAGGUGGUUUCUUAAGUCUGAUGUGAAAGCCCACGGCUCAACCGUGGAGGGUCAUUGGAAACUGGGAGACUUGAGUACAGAAGAGGAUAGUGGAAUUCCAAGUGUAGCGGUGAAAUGCGUAGAGAUUUGGAGGAACACCAGUGGCGAAGGCGACUGUCUGGUCUGUAACUGACACUGAGGCGCGAAAGCGUGGGAGCAAACA
rnacentral:rRNA from 1 species